UCUGUGAAGCCGGCGCGUGAGCGAUCCGGUGGAGAGAUCACUAGUGAGAAUGAUGACAUGAGUAGCGACAAAGAGUGUGAGAGACACUCUCGCCGAAAAUCCAAGGGUUCCUGCUUAAAGCUAAUCUGAGCAGGGUAAGCCGACCCCUAAGGCGAGGCCGAAAGGCGUAGUCGAUGGGAACCAGGUUAAUAUUCCUGGGCCAGAUGGAAGUGACGGAUCUCGAGGGUAGUUCAUCCUUAUCGGAUUGAAUGGGCUGCUUAGAGGUCCCUGGAAAUAGCUCCAUCGCGAGAUCGUACCCUAAACCGACACAGGUGGAUAGGUAGAGAAUACCAAGGCGCUUGAGAGAACUAUGUUGAAGGAACUCGGCAAAAUACCUCCGUAAGUUCGCGAGAAGGAGGCCCGGUUCCUAGGCAACUAGGGGCUGGGGGCACAAACCAGGGGGUGGCGACUGUUUAUUAAAAACACAGGGCUCUGCGAAGUCGUAAGACGACGUAUAGGGUCUGACGCCUGCCCGGUGCCUGAAGGUUAAAAGGAGGAGUGAGAGCUCUGAAUUGAAGCCCAGGUAAACGGCGGCCGUAACAAUAACGGU
rnacentral:rRNA from 1 species